AUACGGAGGGUGCAAGCGUUACUCGGAAUCACUGGGCGUAAAGCGCGCGCAGGCGGUCUUUUAAGUUGGAUGUGAAAGCCUACGGCUCAACCGUAGAACUGCAUCCAAAACUAUUAGACUAGAGUGUGGGAGAGGAAGAUGGAAUUAGUUGUGUAGGGGUAAAAUCCGUAGAGAUAACUAGGAAUACCAAAAGCGAAGGCAAUCUUCUGGAACACUACUGACGCUGAGGCGCGAAAGCGUAGGGAGCAAACAUGAUUAGAAACCCUAGUAGUCC
rnacentral:rRNA from 1 species